CGUAGGGAUACGAGCUAAAGUUUUCCUUAAAAAAGCGAUCCAAGAACAGCUUCGAGAGUCUUGGCAAACUUCCCAAUAAGAUGCCACGAAGGAAGCGAGAUGCACCUCGCCGGAACGCGAUCCCGUCUUCAUGUAUCCAAGCCAACGCACCACAACAUCGUCGAAAUGGUUCCCACAUUCAAAACGGAGUCUCGCUUCAAUCUAGAUCGCGUACCCUGUCUUCGAAUCUCGUAUGAACACUAGAGCAAGAACGAAGCCCUGAAUUCGUCGCCGGAAUCGAAACCAACAAAGGUUUCUUCUUGUGCGUUAAUGAAAGUAGACAAAGGGAAAAAUUCAUCGGAUGAUUCCGACGUGGUGGCUUCGGGUGAUCUUCUCCUUCGAUUCAACGUUGUUGUCGUCUUCGGUUCGAGUUGUGGUUGAAUCACGCUUGUGUUGCCGUUAUUGUUCUGGGAUGGAGGAUGUUGGCGCUUCUUCUUUGUCGCGUGCGAUGGCGUAUUGAGCUUGAUGCGAAGCCUUAUUCGUGUGCGUCCGCUUGACCCUUUUUUUGCAGAAGAACAGUGGAGCCUCGUAUGCGCGUCUCUUCCGGUUCGGUUGGAGAUUCAAAGUGGCUUCGUUAUGGUUUCUUGAGGUAGCGGUGGAUAGUUGGUCCUGUUGUGGCUUCCUGGAGGAGGUUGUGUAGGUGGUUAGAAGAAAAUCGUCAUAGUAGUUUAGAGCUGAUUCAGGUUGGGAAGAGGAUUUUGAUCCUCAUGAGGGUGAAGAAUCACUUAACAGGUUCAGAGUUGGUUUCUAUGAUUGAAUCACCAACCCUCUGCAAUGAUUGGGUUUUGGAAGGAAGUUUAAGAAGUGUUGUUCAGUUGGUUAUUAAUUGGAUGGCGGUUAGGUUGAAGCGUGAGGAAUAUCCGCUGAUUAAAUAGUGCCAUGCUAGAAUGAAUUGCUUUGGAAGGUUCACCUGCAUUGCUUUGUUGCUGGUUGUUACUUGCAGAGUGUCGUAAUGUCCUGCCAGAAUUUAAUAUUGCUUGCUAUCUUGGACGAAAUCUUGCUUGAGGUUACGGUGAUUUUGGCGGGGCGUAUGGGCUGUGGAGCAUAGCAUGAAAAGGCUUGAAUGUGAAGAACUCAAAACAUGCUAACACACUAAGGUCCAAGAUGCUUGAAGACCUUGGAGGCAAAGGUGGGAUGAAGAGAAUGGAGUUUAGAACAUAGGAAUUGACCUUGUAACUUCUUUCUUGUAAUUGGUUUGAAAUUUGAAUAUUGUAAUGAGAUUGGAUUGUAAAAACGAAUUGAAAUCAAUGGUUGGUUUGAACUACGUAGUUUUUUUUGGUUGGAUGGAAUUAUGUUGGAAAUGUAAACAUGGAGAGUCAAUGAAUUUGUAUUGAAUGUGAUGUUGAAAUGGUUAAAUGUAAUGAGUGAUAGGAUUCGCAAUUGUUAUAGAAGGUUUGUUUAUGGAUUGUAUAUGCAUUGAAUAAAAGGUUUAAUGAAACAUUGGAA